ensembl:lncRNA
AUUGUCAGGCAUUUCACCCAUUCACAGUGUGAAGCCCUUCAUCUAUCCGCUUCCCAUCAUAAGACCACCGUUAAAGACAGAGCAGACUCCUUGUGUAACUGGAAAUCUCCCUAGGGUCUACCAGUACGGGUUGCUCCCAUUGCUGCUGUUCCCAGUCUCUCCCAGAAGCCAGACUAGAUGGAUCACAGCAGGAUUUUCAACCCUUAAUGAAGUCUUAUUCUUCCUGUUAUUUUUUUAUACAGCAGGACCAUCGCAAUUUAUCCCACAGCUAAAUCUCUUAACAUAAGCAAUAUGUGAUGAAUGGGAGAAAGGAAGUUUUACAGCCAGGGAGAUACGAAGGGAAGACCUAUGAGUGCCCACUGACUGAGAAACACUCUCACUUGUAGGUGGGGAGCAGACAACAGCAAGAGCAAAUCCUGCUGGUUGCUCAGUCUCCAUCAUCUGGGAACAGUGUGUCUUGCAAGCCACGUCCCUGUACUGGUAGUCUUCUCUGUUAGCAGUAGGGAGGGUCUGCUGUGCAAGGUGAAAUAAAUUUUAAAAUCCAACCUGGUGUGGAUCAAAUGAUCGGCAGGGCACUUUUUUCAUUACAUCUGCCACCUAUUUGAUUUCCUGCAGAAGUCUUACAGAACAUCUGAGCUGAGUCAUUCCCACCGCGCAUGGCCAAACUAACAUUUUGUAGGGAUGCGUUUGGGGAGGGGAGUGGGAGUAGGGGGAUAAUCAUACUUCAUAAUUUCUCAUCUUCCAAAAUAAUCUGUUUUCUAAAUGCAUUGCUAAAUCCUUGCGCUAGCAAUCUACCAUCUGCUCCUUCUUUCAACACACCCACUAUGUCGUCUGCUGUCUUGUUUUACUGCCAAAACUCCAAAUACUGCGGGUAGAAGAGAGUCUGUGCUUCUAGCUGCUUUUCUUGGGUCGCAGGGAGAAAAAGCCUUUGUGAUUAGCACCAAAUAGAACUGUGUGCACUGCUAUGCUGCUUGCCCUUAUCCUGCAAGCUGUGAUGUAAUCGCAGCAGCAAACCAGCAGCUAAAUUUUAUCCCUCUAAUUCCAGGCAGGGGCUCUGGUAGCGCCCUCCAGCACUGACUCGAGCUGGAAUGUUUUGGGUAAUCUCCGGAAUGCCUCAGUAGAAUUAUAAAUCCAUAAAUCAAAGCAGUCAUUAUGUAUUUGAAUAAUAUGUGGAUCAAAGUCUCAGAUUGAGGGCCCCUUUGUUCCCAUGCUCUUUUUAUAUCUUUCUCAGUGAGCAUCUAUUCAAUGAGGAACAAUUACAGUGAAUUUAGAGCAAAAACAUGCAGCGCUAAUGGAGCUCUGAAGAUCUCAUCUGGCAAAUUAUUUAAGCAUAUGCUUAAUUUUAAGCACAAGUGGUAAGGGUGAAAUUACACACAAUAGAGAAGCAUUUGGUUCUGUGAUAUACUGAAUCAGUAUCUAAAUUUAAGCUGACCUCUCAAGAUUGAGUCUUUUUGUAAAUAAGUCAUCUUUAUUCUCCCACCCAAAUACUUUCCUAGCAGUCUUUCAUCCCCGAGGUCUGUGCAAAUGCUGCAUGAAAUCCUGCUCAUGCUCCUCUGGAGAGGGGUCUGCCUUCAGUAGGAGCAAUUAAAGAAGAACAGGACAAGAGCUGCUAUCUGAUUAAUCAAUGCAAUUAUCCUGGGAAAUAUGGCCAUUUAUUUUUUGUCAAAGGGAAGCUCAGGCAUAAUAACCGAGUGAGUUGCAGCGUGAAGAGGAUCAGUCCGUGCCACAGCAUGCAGGGGAUGUCACUACUGAAUCGCCAAUUGCCAUCACCAGAGACAUCAGCCAAAAGCUCCUGCCUCCAGCCUGGGGUGAUCCCACCAAACCCAGCUUCUUCCUUUUUCAUCUGGGAAGACAUUUGAGGGGUUAAAAGGUUGAUGACCCGGACUCCCUGGUCCUGUUACCUGAAAGGACUUUCCUGCUCUUCUCUGCUCACUCUUCUACUCCUGCUGUGACAGCCAUUUCCAGGCCAUAUCUUCCUCUGGCAACAUGUCCUAAAUUUUUUGUGAUCCUAGUGGAAACUGUGAACAUACACAGAAAUCAAACACAACAGAACAAAUUGGAGUCCUGCGGCAGUCACACCAACCCCCAUACUCUGGAGAGAAACUUCUGCCCAAGUCUUCUCAGUGGCACAGAUCACGCCCUUAUGAUUUCCCUUGAUGCUUGAAUUCUUAGCAAAGGCCAACAAAUGGUAAAGAUGCUGCUGGAAGUACACAAACCAUUUCAGAGCGAUAUCCAGCCCAUGAGAACGCAGAUCGUGGCUAAAAAUGUUAAGGAUCAGAAGAUAAAGGCCAAGCACAUCAUGGGAUUCUGUUUGAUGACAUUUCCCCAUUUGCCACCACGAAGUCCCUGCACCUCCAAAGAGCAUCGCCAUAGGGAUGACCAUUGCCACAGCUCACCCAGCUGGCAUCACCGCUGCGCUUUCCCUUCUGUCGGGCUGUCACAGCCAACACCAACAUACCUGACGAUGCGCUGAGUUAAUCACUGCUGAAACAGUCCUGUGGAAAUGCAGAGCGUUGUGAAAGCAGGCGGUAUUAUCAUAAUUAAAUCAGCGUCAGAC